rnacentral:lncRNA from 1 species
AGCUCCCACGAGACAAUUCUGUAAUACACAAUACAAAAGAAAGUAACAGAGGGCAUGAUAUUAGAGAGGGUAUUUAUUUUACAAAAUUUCUUUUUCAGUUAUAUAGAUAUAUACGUGUAUGUAUGUAUUGAGUCACUAUAUGAAAUGUACUUCUUAUUGUGGGUGGUAGCCCAAAAGUUUGAAAACCACUGACUUGCUCUCUACCUGUGGCCUGAAAUGUUACAGAACAGUACGAUUGUCUAAACUGCAGCCAGGAAUGUGAGGAGAAGAAGGAGAGUCCUUAAUAACCUCCGCAACUAGAGCUAUGUAGGCAGGCAAUAUAUCUGUAGAGUGAUUCCUGGGCUUCCUGGCAAGCAGUGAAGUGCUUGUCUACAGGACUGCUUGCAGAGCCAAGGCAGACAACAGAGCUGGCCAAGCCAGGGUAUGUAUCUUUCCAGCCUGUUUCCAUGGCCAACUCCUCAAGGUAUCUAAUUAAAGGCCACGCAGACACAGGAGACAAGAGCCUUUGGAGAAAGAGGAGCUUGAAGAGGUUAAACAUUUUGAACUGCUUGCUACCUUCGGCUUUGGCCUAAAGGAACCCUGAGGGAUGCUUUGCAAAGAACCUGGCCUCCGGAAUCAAAAGUACAGAGACAAUCUACUGGAAUGUGUGGCUGCUUUAGUAUUUGGAGAAUAAUAAUAAGAAAAGCCAGAUGUCUUUAAAAAGCAGGAGAAGAUCACCUGAAACAAGAAGAAAAGCU